GCAAGUCGAGGGGUAGCAGAAUUUUAGCUUGCUAAAAUUGCUGACGACCGGCGCACGGGUGAGUAACACGUAUGCAACCUACCUUUUACAGGGGAAUAGCCCAGAGAAAUUUGGAUUAAUGCCCCAUAGUAUUUUAGAUUCGCAUGAAUCUAAAAUUAAAGCUCCGGCGGUAAAAGAUGGGCAUGCGUUCUAUUAGUUUGUUGGUGAGGUAACGGCUCACCAAGGCUACGAUAGAUAGGGGUUCUGAGAGGAUAGUC
rnacentral:rRNA from 1 species